ACAGAGGGUGCGAACGUUGCUCGGAAUUACUGGGCGUAAAGCGCAUGUAGGCGGGUCGGCAAGUCAGAUGUGAAAUCCCCGGGCUCAACCCGGGAACUGCAUCUGGAACUGCUGGUCUUGAGUACUGGAGAGGGUGGCGGAAUUCCUGGUGUAGAGGUGAAAUUCGUAGAUAUCAGGAGGAACACCGGUGGCGAAGGCGGCCACCUGGACAGUAACUGACGCUGAGAUGCGAAAGCGUGGGGAGCAAACAGGA
rnacentral:rRNA from 1 species